CGGGAGGCAGCAGUGGGGAAUCUUCCGCAAUGGGCGAAAGCCUGACGGAGCGACGCCGCGUGAGCGAAGAAGGCCUUCGGGUCGUAAAGCUCGAUAGUGUGGGAAGAAGGAAUGACGGAC
rnacentral:rRNA from 1 species